rnacentral:rRNA from 1 species
UACGAAGGGGGCUAGCGUUGUUCGGAAUCACUGGGCGUAAAGCGCACGCAGGCGGAUUGAUAAGUCAGGGGUGAAAUCCCGGAGCUCAACUUCGGAAUUGCCUUUGAUACUGUCUGUCUUGAGUCCGGGAGAGGUGAGUGGAAUUCCUAGUGUAGAGGUGAAAAUUCGUAGAUAUUCGCAAAGAACACCAGUGGCGAAGGCGGCUCACUGGCCCGGUACUGACGCUGAGGUGCGAAACGUGGGGACAACAGGGAUUAAGAA